UCGCUCUCAAAAUAAACAAACAAACUUAAAAAAAAAAUAAAAGGGCUCAUUGAAAGUUCAGCAUUUCAGAUCUCCUGCCUGACUUCCUACAAUGUGUCACAGCAGACCAUCACUUCCUGAUCUAUGCAGCAUGAAAUAUGAAUUCCUGCCAUUCAGAUUCUUUACAGUCUGGUUCCAAUACUGUUCCCAUCUUAGAACUAGCCACAUCCUUACUUUAGCUUCUGCUUAAUUGGAUUGCUUUACUUUCUAUUUUCCUAGGCCACUUCUGCCACUAUGCCACUACUGUACUGAUCUCUCCUAAAAUAGCUCCCCUUCUCUCUGACUGUUCAAAGGCUUUCUAUCCAUUAGGAUGAAUUUAAUUCCAGGACCUCCAUGGCCACUCUCAUCCACAGGUAUCUUUCUCUCUAUAGCAUGCCUUGUUUUGACUAUUUACUUAAUGCCUGAUUGUAUGUAUAUGUCAUAACCUAUAGGCUUAUAUGCUGAUUAGAAUUGGCAGAUUUUAGAUUGGAAUUCUAGUGUCGCCUGGAAUGGAAAGCCCAGGAAGUCAAGGGUCAUGCAUUAUCUUCUUUGUGACUCCUAUAGUAUUAAGUAGUAUGUCCUAUAUGUAAGAGGGGCCAGGAAGUACUUAUUGAUUGAAGGAAUAAUAAUCCACUAUUGAAAAAGCAGAGCCUUGGCAAUAUUUAUUAGUGAAUCCAGUGACCUUUCAAGGACAUUCUCUGGCUAAGCAGUGCAAUAUGAGGUAAUAAUUAAAGUUAUUCUCAGGUCCCAAAGGGAGCUCAGAGAAUAUCACUCCAUUGAAGUUCCCUGGAGCCUUCUAGAAUGUCAGCUUAACCCAGCUUCCAUGUUGGGUUGCUUCCACAGUUUUAGAUUUCUUGGGAUUCUAUGUUAUGAACUCAGAAGACCUGAUUUUUAUGAUUGUCAUCCCAAAAUAGCCUUCAUAUUCAUACUCAGUAUUUCCUCUGAGGUGAUGCAUACAAACCGUUAUGCAAAUUGAACGCACUCAGAGCACGGUUUCCCCACAUAGUGCUGAAUUUUCUAGAAGACUCAUCAUGAAAAGCAGCCUCACUGAUGCUUACAUUAGCACUGAUCACCUAGUCCAGGUGUCUGGCCUCACAGAUGAGGAAAUGCAAGCCCUCAAGGGGGUAAAAUCCCUUCAUCCUUACCUUACGCCACUGCCUGCUAAGAUACCCCAAAGUGCCUUCCAUCUGUGCAAAUGAAGUCUCUAGGAGAUGCCUCGGA